UACGUAGGGAGCAAGCGUUGUCCGGAAUCAUUGGGCGUAAAGCGCGCGUAGGCGGCCCUGUAAGUCCGUUGUGAAAGUCAAAGGCUCAACCUUUGAAAGCCGAUGGAUACUGCAGGGCUAGAGUCCGGAAGAGGCGAGUGGAAUUCCUGGUGUAGCGGUGGAAUGCGUAGAUAUCAGGAGGAACACCUAUUGCGAAGGCAGCUCGCUGGGACGUAACUGACGCUGAGACGCGAAAGCGUGGGGAGCAAACAGG
rnacentral:rRNA from 1 species